CACUAGGAGAAGUCUUACUCUUAGCAGUACCUGCCCAGUGCAAAGUUGUAAACGGCCGCCCUAGCGUGAGGGUGCCAAGGUAGCGAAAUUCCUUGCCUUUUAAUUGUAGGCCUGCAUGAAUGGAUUGACGAGGGUCAAACUGUCUCUUGCUUUGUAUGACGAAAUUGGACUGAAGGUGAAGAUACCUUCAUGUGAAAGUUAGACAAGAAGACCCCGUGCAGCUUUUAAAAACUUACUUAUUAAGAGCUAUAAGAUUUUUAGGUGGGGCGCCUAGGAAGUAAAACUUAACCUUCUUAUUUGUUAAAAGUAACUGUCUGGUGUAGACCCGGCAAGUCCGAUCAUGGGAGAAGUUACGCCGGGGAUAACAGGCUUAUCCAUUAGUAGAGCUCGUAUUGGCUAAUGGGAUUGGCACCUCGAUGUUGAAUUAAGGAUGAUAACUCUAAGGCGUAGAGGCUUUGGAAGUGGGUCUGUUCGACCUUUAAUACCUU
rnacentral:rRNA from 1 species